ACGGUCCCGCCAAAUCGGAGUGUGAGGGUGCAGGUUAAGCUCAUGGGACAGACUUGAGUCAGUCACCGUGACAGAGAGGAAGAGCGCGAGGCCAGAAUGCUCCAGGCGGGGAACGUGCUCCGAGAGCCCGCGCCGGCUUUGACGUCAUAGGCGUGCGUCGGAGCAGGAACAUGGUCGGGCACUGACCAUGUACCAGUCGUAAGCACUGAAGAUUGGGAGGAAGACGAGCCAGGAUCUGGCCUGGGCAGCCCACAUCUGUACCAACAAACCACCUUCUACAAACGGGAAGGUGCCGGGGAAGGUGCCAUCUUUCCUGCCCCGAUACUCCUGAGGCCAUGACUGCAGGCGGAGGGUUCACUUUGGUGAAAGCCUGUCUUUAUUUCCUGUAUCACUCGUCUGUGAUCUACAGAACUGUGUCAAGGAAGCAGCUCCAGAACCUGAUGGCAGCAAUGCUGUUUGUUAUUGUUUUUGUUUAGUAUUUAUGUAUUUUGGCCAUGCCAGGUCUUAGUUGCGACACGCGGGAUCUUCCUUUGCAGUGUGUGGGAAUCUUCAGUGCGGCAUGCACGUGGGAUCAAAUUCCCCAACCAGGGGUCGAACCCGGGCCCCCUGCAUUGGGAACCUGGGAGUCUUAGCCGCUGGACCACCUGGGAAGUCUGCAGCAGUGCUCUUUCACUUAGCUUGUAAUUGUGCAAGAAGGCACUCUUGUUGUGACCUUACUCAGAAUGCAGUUUGGGGGGAAGAUCAGCUCUCGCCGUGGCCCCGGGACAUUUCCCAGUUGGUUCAGGGAACUUGGCCUCACAACGCCCUGCACACUGUGGGCCCCGGUGUAGUGUGUGCUGUCCACAGCUCGUCAGUGGCCUGAGAACCAGCCACCUUGAGCAACUCGGGCUGGGAACCGCUCAGCGCGUGGCCUCAGACUCCUCUCCCCAACGGUCUCCCUUCUCAGCCCAAUUCUGGAAGCGCGAGCAGCGUCCACACACACCGGACAGAGUUCUACUCAGAAGAUUCAGCGGUUUCAUUUCAGACUCGUCUCUCGCACCCUCUGGUGAUGCCCCAGCCUGACUGCCGCUGAGGCACCGUGACCCCCAGGACAGAAUGGGGACCGCCGGAGCUGCUCAGAUGACCUCUGAAUCCCACGCCCACAUUAGCAUUUUAAGGCUGUUCAAACACUCAGAUCUAUCACUUUCCAUGAAUGCUUUGCUAAUGAAUGUUGAUUAUAAAAAAGGCCAAACUCAUGGAGACUUGAAUGUUCCAGGGGUUACUUGUUUAUCUCCACCUGAGAUUUCAGCCUAUGGUGGUUUUAUGAGAAUGACUGCUAGAAUUGAAAUAAAUUUUGAAUAAGAUGAAAUGUAUUAUAUCUUAGUGAGUUUAUGACUUACACAAAGUACUUACCGUCAUGAAUUUCCAUGAAAGCAGUGUUUAUUAAAGCUUUUUUCUUAAUGAAAAAUAAUGCCUGAUAACCAAGUAUUAC